rnacentral:misc_RNA from 1 species
GUAAGGAAAUACAAUUCUUCUUGGUUUCCAAUUCAUAGAAUAGAGCUGCACAAAACAACUACCAACAACUGGGUAUGAUACUUUUGUUGUCUACAUAUUUAAUUGUUUCAUUUGUGUGGCAAUGUUUCAGUUCUUGGCUGUGUCUGGGUUCUCUUUUUUUUUCUUGGGAGAAAGCAGGUCCUGUUUUGCAUUAUAAUGACACA